AUUUUGGACGAUGGGGGCAACCCUGAUCCAGCCAUCCCGCGUGUGCGAUGAAGGCCUUCGGGUUGUAAAGCACUUUUGGCAGGGAAGAAAAGCAGCGGGUUAAUACCCUGCGGUGCUGACGGUACCUUCAGAAUAAGCACCGGCUAACUACGUGCCAGCAGCCGCGGUAAUACGUAGGGUGCAAUCGUUAAUCGGAAUUACUGGGCGUAAAGCGUGCGCAGGCGGUUCGGCAAGAAGGAUGUGAUAUCCCGGGGCUUAACCUUGGAACUGCAUUCUUAACUGCCGGGCUAGAGUAUGUCAGAGGGGGGUAGAAUUCCGCGUGUAGCAGUGAAAUGCGUAGAGAUGCGGAGGAAUACCGAUGGCGAAGGCAGCCCACUGGGAUAAUACUGACGCUCAUGCACGAAAGCGUGGGGAGCAAAC
rnacentral:rRNA from 1 species